AUAUCAAUAAGCGGAGGAAGAGAAACCAACCGGGAUUGCCCUAGUAACGGCGAGUGAAGCGGUAACAGCUCAAAUUUGAAAUCUGGCCUCGCAGGGGGUCAGAGUUGUAAUUUGCAGAAGAUGCUUCUGGGCGUGGACCGGGUCCAAGUGCCUUGGAACAGGACGUCGCAGAGGGUGAGAACCCCGUACCUGGCCCGGUGCCCGCGCACUUGCGAAGCUUUUCGACGAGUCGAGUUGUUUGGGAAUGCAGCUCAAAAUGGGUGGUAAAUUUCAUCCAAAGCUAAAUAA
rnacentral:rRNA from 1 species